UGCUGUUUGCUUUCUGUGCUUGAGUUGGUUAUAUAUUGUAACCAACUCCCUGUUUCGAAUAUGAUUUUACACAAUAUUCAGUUCUACUCUCUCUAUCUUUCUCUUGUGUUUUUCUUCUUCUGGGUUUCUAGCUUCCUCUUCGAACCCAACAACCCUAAUAAAGUAAUAAGUAACGUGAUAAGUUGUAACUUAUCUUCCUUCGUAUCUUUUGUUUUUUAUGUUUUAAAAGACUAUGUGUUUUAGUGCAUAUUUGAUAUGGUGAGAAACAAAAAUCAUAACAAACUCCCUCUAACGAAAAUCAAACCUAUAAUGAUCCUGUAUUGACAUUGAUCAUGACCUGGCCAUCGUCCAUCAUGAUCCUACUAAGAUGCUUAUGACAUGAGCAAGACGUCUUCUUAUUCAUGGGUUGGGUUGAGAGAGCUCAACAAUCUCACUCUGUCUCCACCUCACCAUGGUUCCUGCUAAGUCUCUCGUUUUUUAAUUUAUUUAUCUCUUCCUCGUGACUCACUCUCAUUGUAUUGCGUUUUCAAAACCAGUGUUUGUGUGCGUUGAAGCUCCAUUAUUGAAAGGUUUGAUCUUAUGACUUGGUAUCUUUGUUUCUUAUGCCUCGCAAUUUGGCUAUGACUGUGUACCUUCCAAUUUGGCUCGUUUUUGAACAAAUGGGUUUGCCUGCUAGUGGUUGCCACGAAAGCUUUUAAUGGUGACAGUUUUUGUUUCAAAUUCUUUCUGUAAAUUUGUUAUUUACUUAUUAUUAAUCAUAUUAUUGGAAUUUUUUAAAGAAAAGAAACACAGAAUUUGCUUAACAGAGAGCAAGAUAUAUUAACAAUUUUCUUAACAUAGAACAAUAUAUAUU
rnacentral:lncRNA from 1 species